UACGAAGGGGGCUAGCGCUGCUCGGAAUCACUGGGCGUAAAGGGUGCGUAGGCGGGUCUUUAAGUCAGGGGGGAAAUCCUGGAGCUCAACUCCAGAACUGCCUUUGAUACUGAAGAUCUUGAGUUCGGGAGAGGUGAGUGGAACUGCGAGUGUAGAGGUGAAAUUCGUAGAUAUUCGCAAGAACACCAGUGGCGAAGGCGGCUCACUGGCCCGAUACUGACGCUGAGGCACGAAAGCGUGGGGAGCAAACAGG
rnacentral:rRNA from 1 species